rnacentral:rRNA from 1 species
AUUGAACGCUGGCGGCAGGCCUAACACAUGCAAGUCGAACGGUAACAGGAAGCAGCUUGCUGCUUUGCUGACGAGUGGCGGACGGGUGAGUAAUGUCUGGGAAACUGCCCGAUGGAGGGGGAUAACUACUGGAAACGGUAGCUAAUACCGCAUAACGUCGCAAGACCAAAGAGGGGGACCUUAGGGCCUCUCGCCAUCGGAUGUGCCCAGAUGGGAUUAGCUAGUAGGUGGGGUAACGGCUCACCUAGGCGACGAUCCCUAGCUGGUCUGAGAGGAUGACCAGCCACACUGGAACUGAGACACGGUCCAGACUCCUACGGGAGGCAGCAGUGGGGAAUAUUGCACAAUGGGCGCAAGCCUGAUGCAGCCAUGCCGCGUGUAUGAAGAAGGCCUUCGGGUUGUAAAGUACUUUCAGCGGGGAGGAAGGGAGUAAAGUUAAUACCUUUGCUCAUUGACGUUACCCGCAGAAGAAGCACCGGCUAACUCCGUG